rnacentral:rRNA from 1 species
AUUAGGAAUCUUGCACAAUGGGCGAAAGCCUGAUGCAGCGACGUCGCGUGGGGGACGAAAUCUUUCGGGAUGUAAACCCCUUUUGAGUGGGAAGAAACAAAUGACGGUACCACUCGAAUAAGCCCCGGCUAACUACGUGCCAGCAGCCGCGGUAAUACGUAGGGGGCCAGCGUUGUCCGAAGUUACUGGGCGUAAAGAGCGCGUAGGCGGGCCUUUAAGUGGGGGGUGAAAUUCUGAGGCUCAACCUCGGAACUGCCUCUCAUACUGGGGGCCUUGAGUGCGGGAGAGGCGAGUGGAAUGGUCGGUGUAGCGGUGAAAUGCGUAGAUAUCGAUCGGAACACCCAUGGCGAAGGCAGCUCGCUGGCCUGCAACUGACGCUGAGGCGCGAAAGCCGGGGGAGCAAACAG